AGUGAACGCUGGCGGUAGGCCUAACACAUGCAAGUCGAACGGCAGCACAGUAAGAGCUUGCUCUUACGGGUGGCGAGUGGCGGACGGGUGAGGAAUACAUCGGAAUCUACUUUUUCGUGGGGGAUAACGUAGGGAAACUUACGCUAAUACCGCAUACGACCUACGGGUGAAAGCAGGGGAUCUUCGGACCUUGCGCGAUUGAAUGAGCCGAUGUCGGAUUAGCUAGUUGGCGGGGUAAAGGCCCACCAAGGCGACGAUCCGUAGCUGGUCUGAGAGGAUGAUCAGCCACACUGGAACUGAAACAAGGUCCAGACUCCUACGGGAAGCAACAGUGGGGAAUAUUGGACAAUGGGCGCAAGCCUGAUCCAACCAUACCGCGUGGGUGAAGAAGGCCUUCGGGUUGUAAAGCCCUUUUGUUGGGAAAGAAAAGCAGCAGGUUAAUACCCCGCUGUUCUGACGGUACCCAAAGAAUAAGCACCGGCUAACUUCGUG
rnacentral:rRNA from 1 species